GCCUUCCCCCGCCCCUCCUUGCUGGUGCUGCUGGUGCUGGUGCUGCUGCUGCUGCUGUAGAUUGACGGCCCGCGCUAGCGCUUCAGAGUUACUGAUUUAUUCCUGAGACUAAUCUGCUCUGAGCCAUCCUCAUGGAUGAACUUCAGGAUGUUCAACUCACAGAGAUCAAACCACUUUUAAAUGAUAAGAAUGGCACACGAAACUUCCAGGACUUUGACUGUCAGG